CCUACGGGAGGCAGCAGUGAGGAAUAUUGGUCAAUGGACGCGAGCCUGAACCAGCCAAGUAGCGUGAAGGAUGACUGCCCUACGGGUUGUAAACCUCUUUUAUAAAGGAAUAAAGUGCAGCACGUGUGCCGUUUUGUAUGUACCUUAUGAAUAAGGAUCGGCUAACUCCGUGCCAGCAGCCGCGGUAAUACGGAGGAUCCGAGCGUUAUCCGGAUUUAUUGGGUUUAAAGGGAGCGUAGGUGGGUGCUUAAGUCAGUUGUGAAAGUUUGCGGCUCAACCGUAAAAUUGCAGUUGAUACUGGCAGCCUUGAGUACAGUUGAGGUAGGCGGAAUUCGUGGUGUAGCGGUGAAAUGCUUAGAUAUCACGAAGAACUCCGAUUGCGAAGGCAGCUUACUAAACUGCCACUGACGCUGAUGCUCGAAAGUGUGGGUAUCAAACAGGAUUAGAUACCCGGGUAGUC
rnacentral:rRNA from 1 species